rnacentral:rRNA from 1 species
AACGAACGCUGGCGGCAGGCUUAACACAUGCAAGUCGAGCGCCCCGCAAGGGGAGCGGCAGACGGGUGAGUAACGCGUGGGAAUCUACCCAUCUCUACGGAAUAACGCAUGGAAACGUGUGCUAAUACCGUAUACGUCCUUCGGGAGAAAGAUUUAUCGGAGGUGGAUGAGCCCGCGUUGGAUUAGCUAGUUGGUGGGGUAAAGGCCUACCAAGGCGACGAUCCAUAGCUGGUCUGAGAGGAUGAUCAGCCACACUGGGACUGAGACACGGCCCAGACUCCUACGGNGGGCAGCAGUGGGGAAUAUUGGACAAUGGGCGCAAGCUUGAUCCAGCCAUGCCGCGUGAGUGAUGAAGGCCCUAGGGUUGUAAAGCUCUUUCACCGGUGAAGAUAAUGACGGUAACCGGAGAAGAAGCCCCGGCUAACUUCGUGCCAGCCGCCGCGGUAAAA